GCCUAGUUGGCUCAGUCAGUAGAGCAUGAGACUCUUGAUCUCAGGGUUUUGAGAUUGAGUCCCACAUUGAGCA
rnacentral:tRNA from 1 species